rnacentral:rRNA from 1 species
UAUUGGGCCUAAGCGUCCGUAGCUGGCCGGCCAGUCCGUUGGGAAAUCCACCCGCUUAACGGGUGGGCGUCCAGCGGAAACUGUCCGGCUUGGAGCCGGAGGACCUGAGGGGUACGUCCGGGGUAGGAGUGAAAUCCUGUAAUCCUGGACGGACCGCCGGUGGCGAAAGCGCCUCAGGAAGACGGACUCGACAGUGAGGGACGAAAGCUAGGGUCUCGAACC